rnacentral:rRNA from 1 species
AUAAUGGGUCAGCGACUUAUAUUCUGUAGCAAGGUUAACCGAAUAGGGGAGCCGAAGGGAAACCGAGUCUUAACUGGGCGUUAAGUUGCAGGGUAUAGACCCGAAACCCGGUGAUCUAGCCAUGGGCAGGUUGAAGGUUGGGUAACACUAACUGGAGGACCGAACCGACUAAUGUUGAAAAAUUAGCGGAUGACUUGUGGCUGGGGGUGAAAGGCCAAUCAAACCGGGAGAUAGCUGGUUCUCCCCGAAAGCUAUUUAGGUAGCGCCUCGUGAAUUCAUCUCCGGGGGUAGAGCACUGUUUCGGCAAGGGGGUCAUCCCGACUUACCAACCCGAUGCAAACUGCGAAUACCGGAGAAUGUUAUCACGGGAGACACACGGCGGGUGCUAACGUCCGUCGUGAAGAGGGAAACAACCCAGACCGCCAGCUAAGGUCCCAAAGUCAUGGUUAAGUGGGAAACGAUGUGGGAAGGCCCAGACAGCCAGGAUGUUGGCUUAGAAGCAGCCAUCAUUUAAAGAAAGCGUAAUAGCUCACUGGUCGAGUCGGCCUGCGCGGAAGAUGUAACGGGGCUAAACCAUGCACCGAAGCUGCGGCAGCGACGCUUAUGCGUUGUUGGGUAGGGGAGCGUUCUGUAAGCCUGUGAAGGUGUGCUGUGAGGCAUGCUGGAGGUAUCAGAAGUGCGAAUGCUGACAUAAGUAACGAUAAAGCGGGUGAAAAGCCCGCUCGCCGGAAGACCAAGGGUUCCUGUCCAACGUUAAUCGGGGCAGGGUGAGUCGACCCCUAAGGCGAGGCCGAAAGGCGUAGUCGAUGGGAAACAGGUUAAUAUUCCUGUACUUGGUGUUACUGCGAAGGGGGGACGGAGAAGGCUAUGUUGGCCGGGCGACGGUUGUCCCGGUUUAAGCGUGUAGGCUGGUUUUCCAGGCAAAUCCGGAAAAUCAAGGCUGAGGCGUGAUGACGAGGCACUACGGUGCUGAAGCAACAAAUGCCCUGCUUCCAGGAAAAGCCUCUAAGCAUCAGGUAACAUCAAAUCGUACCCCAAACCGACACAGGUGGUCAGGUAGAGAAUACCAAGGCGCUUGAGAGAACUCGGGUGAAGGAACUAGGCAAAAUGGUGCCGUAACUUCGGGAGAAGGCACGCUGAUAUGUAGGUGAAGUCCCUCGCGGAUGGAGCUGAAAUCAGUCGAAGAUACCAGCUGGCUGCAACUGUUUAUUAAAAACACAGCACUGUGCAAACACGAAAGUGGACGUAUACGGUGUGACGCCUGCCCGGUGCCGGAAGGUUAAUUGAUGGGGUCAGCGCAAGCGAAGCUCUUGAUCGAAGCCCCGGUAAACGGCGGCCGUAACUAUAACGGUCCUAAGGUAGCGAAAUUCCUUGUCGGGUAAGUUCCGACCUGCACGAAUGGCGUAAUGAUGGCCAGGCUGUCUCCACCCGAGACUCAGUGAAAUUGAACUCGCUGUGAAGAUGCAGUGUACCCGCGGCAAGACGGAAAGACCCCGUGAACCUUUACUAUAGCUUGACACUGAACAUUGAGCCUUGAUGUGUAGGAUAGGUGGGAGGCUUGGAAGUGUGGACGCCAGUCUGCAUGGAGCCGACCUUGAAAUACCACCCUUUAAUGUUUGAUGUUCUAACGUUGACCCGU